rnacentral:rRNA from 1 species
CGAGUGGCGGACGGGUGAGUAAUGUCUGGGAAACUGCCCGAUGGAGGGGGAUAACUACUGGAAACGGUAGCUAAUACCGCAUAACGUCGCAAGACCAAAGAGGGGGACCUUCGGGCCUCUUGCCAUCGGAUGUGCCCAGAUGGGAUUAGCUAGUAGGUGGGGUAACGGCUCACCUAGGCGACGAUCCCUAGCUGGUCUGAGAGGAUGACCAGCCACACUGGAACUGAGACACGGUCCAGACUCCUACGGGAGGCAGCAGUGGGGAAUAUUGCACAAUGGGCGCAAGCCUGAUGCAGCCAUGCCGCGUGUAUGAAGAAGGCCUUCGGGUUGUAAAGU